AUGGAGAGGACCGGUUCCAGCGCUGACGGCACGGGUCCUAGCACCUCCUCCUCCUACUCCACCGCCGACGCCGACGACAAUGGCACCGCCGGCGGCGCCAAGGUCUGGCUCCUCGUGCUCCUCUUCUCCCUGCUCCUGCUGCUCUUCCUCCCCUCCGCGGUGCGCCGAGGCGGCGGCGGAUUCCAGCGCGGAGGGAUUACGCUCAAGAGCGGCUGGGACGUUGUCAACCUCUGCCUCGUGCUCUUCGCCAUCCUCUGCGGCCUGCUCGGCCGCGGUGGGGGCGACGGCGAUGGGGAGCCCCCCGGCCCCGCGGCGCCGGCGCCCAAGAGCCAUCUGCGGGUGUCCCCUGCGGCGGCGGCGACGCCGGAGCCGAGCACGGAGGACGUCUGGGCGAGCUUCAACAACUCCUACACCAACCACAACGCCCAGACGGGGAUCCGGCGGAUGAAGAGCAGCAGCUCCUACCCGGAGCUGCGGCUGGACAGCGACGGCGUCUGGGGCCUCGCGUCACCGGAGUUGGCCUGGCGCUCGUACGACGACGCCGAGCUGUACCGGACACGGCGAGACGAGCGGCCCGACAGGGCCCGGGACGCCGAUCGGUCGCUCAGGAGGACGUCGUCGGAUGUGAAGACGAUCCCGGUGGACACCUACGAGGUGCGCACCAGACCGCUGCCUCAGGAUGCGAGGAGGCGGAGGCGGAGUGUCGAGAGGCUCCCCAAGAUGGAUGAGGUGGAGGAGGAGAGGACGCAUCCGGCGGAGACGGAGACUCUCGCUACGCCGGCGAGGAGCAGGACCUGGAGCCCGGAGGAGCUGGACGCUACGCUGCUGGGGAUGGCGUCCGCACCACCGGCACCUGCCCCACCGCCGCAGCCUCGCCGUCGCCGACGCAGCCUCGAGAGGCUCCCCGAGAUGGUUGAGGUGGAGGAGAAGAGGACGCGUCCCACGGAGACUCGCGCUACGCCGGCGAGGAGCAGGACGUGGAGCCCGGAGGAGCUGGGCGCUACGCUAUUGGAGAUGGCGUCCGCAGAACCACCACCUGCCCCGCCGCAGCAGCCUCGCCGUCGCCGCCGCAGCCUCGAGAACCUGCCGACAAUGGAAGAAGUGGAGAAGGAGAUUACAGUGGAAGAGAUCAAUCACCCGCAGUCGCCAUCGCCAGCCAUGUUUCCCCCAGGGACUCCGCCGCCACCACCUCCUCCGCCACCGGCGGCAAUGUCGAGGAGCAAGAAGAAGAGGAGCGGCAGCGUGGGCGGCGCAAAGGAACUGGCCUCCGCCAUUGCUCUCUUCUACCAGAAGAAGCGCAAGAGCAUUAUCAUGAAGAGGGAGAGGCACCACCACCACCACCACCACCAUCUCUCCGAUGACCACUACUCGUCGCCUUCGUCCGAAGCAUCGGCGAGCCCCGAAGCUACCGGCCGUGCCAAUCCUCCACGCCCGCCACCGCCGCCACCCCCUCCCCCGCCGCCGCCGUCAUCCAUCUUCUCCAACCUCUUCAAGAAAGGAGGCAGCAAGAGCCGCCGCAUGAACUCCCUCGCGCCACCGCAACCGCCACCUCCGCCCCCACCAACGCGCCGAUCAAGGAAACCGCCACAGCCUCCGUCUCGCCCCGCUCCUCCGCAGCCAGCGCCAGCUCCAGUGAGGACACGGCCGCCGCGCGCGAGCGCGCACCCGCAACAGCAGAUACGCGCGCAGGGGUAUCCGCAGCAGCCGCCACUGUAUCCCAGGCGCGGUGUCGUGUACUACGCCUACCCGCUUCCUCCGCCGUCGCCCCCAAUGCCGCCACCGCCUCCUCCACCGCCGAUGCUGGAGGGGGAGGAGGAGGUUCCGUCGGUCACUGCGUCACCGGCACCGUCGUACUGCGCGAGCCCCGACGUGAACACCAAGGCGGACAACUUCAUCGAACGCUUCCGCGCCGGGCUGAAGCUGGAGAAGAUCAACUCGUACCGGGAGAAGCUGCAGAUCCAAGAAGGCUCGACCGUGACCAUGGCGGAGGAGGACGGGGAGUUCAUGAUCAUUGGGUCCCUCUUCGAAGAUGACGAUGACGAUAUGUCGUUGCCGGAGACGCCGGCAACCGCUACCGCAGCCGCUGUUGCCGUCGGCUUCUAA
rnacentral:rRNA from 1 species